rnacentral:lncRNA from 1 species
CAGGGGUUCAGUCACAGCCUCCCCUCUUCAACAGCGAUGACACUGACCUGCAAAACGAAAAAAAAACCCAACAACAAUCUGUUCUAAUUUUCAUUUUAUUUCAUCCGUUCCCAAGUUUUUUUCCUUUUUUAGAUCUGUUUCCUUCCGUUUCUCUGCCUCCUCUCGUCUGUCUCAGGUGACCGGAUCUGCUGUCAGGGCGCCUGUGGCUAACGGUUGGCAGCCUCUCGGUGGUAGCGGCGCUGCUGUUCGGCCGCCGCUGGGAGAGGCAACCGAAGGAGAAGCAGCCGUUGCUGAUGGGAAGGCUGCGGUGGCUGGAGGUCUGGUGACCGGCGGCUGUGGAGUGAGGGGAGGAGUAAUCGGCUGGUUAGUGGGGUUCGGUGAGGAAGAAAAAAAACAGUUGUGGCCGGUUGAAGAAGAAACGAAAAAAUCAAAAGGGGGAGUGUGGGGCUGUUAUGGUGAAGAUGAAGAUGGCUGGGCAAUUCAAACCAGGGAAGGGGGGCGGCGGCUUGGUUUUCUUUUGUGCAGGGAGAUCAGAAAAAAUCAAAAGGUGUGGGGGGCGCCGCCGGCUAGUUUAUCUCUGUCAAUGGGAGUAGGGCGGCUCUGUUUGGCUCCGACUGAAAAAAAAUAAAAUAAAAUAAAAUAAAACCAGAGGGGAAGGGGCCUUGGGCGAGAAGGAGCAACGGCUGGAAGUUCAAAAAAUUUCAAACCGGGGGGGCGGCUCCUUUGGGUAGGCUGUUUGGAGAAAACAAAAGAUAGGUUUAGGGUUUUUUCUUUUGUAUUUUUGUUGAAGUUUCAAAAUUGUCCCCCCUCUUUUGUGUGAGUUAAAGACCAGUAUUUAUAGGCAAAAAUGUUGCCAAGUUUUUCAACUUGGUCCCUCAACUUCUUUCUUUUUGUAAAUUUUGAUUUUUCUUAUUUUUUUGUAUUUUUUGAAAACGAGCAAUAUCAACGUCGACUCAAAUGCGGAAAAUCAAUGAUUUUAAAAAUGACGCGUGAAAAAUCGAACGCGUUUGAAAAUAUUUUAACAAUUUAAAUUCUUUUUUAGACGACGUUGAAAAUGCUAAAAUGACGAAAAUAUAUUAAAAAACAUAUUUUUUGGAUUUUUGAAAAUAUAUCAAAACAUGGGUCAAAAAUUGGGUAGCAACAGAUGCCCCCUCUUUACAAUGCUUACGAAACAAAACUCCUCAAAAUUUUGCAUAGUAAGCUUUGUAAAGAAAACAAAAGGAAAAUGAUUUUAUUAUCUUGGGCAACCUGCCUACACAUACUCACUCUAGUCUAUUUUCACGGGCGACCGACCCACACUCUCCCAAUAGUCUAUUUUCACGGGCGACCUGCCCACACAUUGGGUUUACCUGAGAUCCCAUCUAGCGACCUCAUUCAACUGAAACGAAAAUAUUGUGUAACUCGGUUAACCUGAAAUCCCAUCUGGCUAUUCCCUUUAACCAAAGCUACCCGAGAUCCCAUCUGGCGACCUCAUUUAACCAAAACAAAAGAAUGUGUGAAAAAUGGUCUCAUUGUAUGGGUGACGAACCCAAGAAAAAAAUGAUGGUCUCAUUGUAUGGGUGACGAACCCUAGAAAAAUGAUGGUCUCAUUGUAUGGGUGACGAACCCCAGAAAAGUGGUGGUCUCAUUGUAUGGGUGACGAACCCGAGAAAAGUGGUGGUCUCAUUGUAUGGGUGACGAACCCCAGAAAAGUGGUGGUCUCAUUGUAUGGGUGACGAACCCGAGAAAAGUGGUGGUCUCAUUGUAUGGGUGACGAACCCUAGAAAAGUGGUGGUCUCAUUGUAUGGGUGACGAACCCCAGAAAAGUGGUGGUCUCAUUGUAUGGGUGACGAACCCCAGAAAUAUGAUGGUCUCAUUGUAUGGGUGACGAACCCCAGAAAAAUGAUGAAGUGCGGUCUCAUUGUAAUGGGUGACCUACCCACGUGGAAAAAAUAUGAAGUGUGGUCUCGUUGUAAUGGGUGACCUACCCAGAUGGAAAAAAUGUGAAAAUGGUCUUAUUAUGAUGGGAGACCUACCCAGAUGGAAAAAAUGUGAUAUGACAAGUGUGAAAAAUAGGACUUACCUGGCGAAGUUCUGAAAGGAUGACAGAAGAAAGGGCUGGAAGACUUGGUGCUUCCUGAUAAUUCCCGAUCAUGGGGUUUGAAAACUCGGUGUUUCCUAAUUGCAAGGGUUGAAAACUCGAGGCUUCCCGGUUGCAAGGUUGAUCUAUUCAUUUCUUUGGGAUUUUCCUAAUGGUAGGGUUCAUCCCAUCGUCCUUUUAUUCCAUGAUCAAAAUCGAUUCUUUAUUAUCAUCACCACAAUGCUUCUUUCUCUUUCCACCAUCUUGCUGGACCUCAUUAAGGAUUUUCCUGUAACAAUUCAAAAAUAUGUGCAAAUGGUUUUUUUUUUUUUUUUUUUGAGGUUAGAUGAUAUGCAUGCAUCCUUACCUGAUUUGAAAUAAUAGAUCCCCCCUCUUUGAUGCUCCAUCGUCAUAGGGUGCCCUUGUUUGUAUCCCAAAGCUUUCUUUGUUCUUCCGAUGUAUUAGCUCAUUCAUGUGUUAGCCAUCCACUCAGCUGUAAAUGCGUGCCCAUCCCGGGCUGUCUUCGACAAUUACUGCUUGCAUCGUUCAUGAAGCUUGACCCUGCCCCCAAGUGUGUACUGCUUGAUUCAUCAUGAGAGAUUUUCUCUCCUGGCUUCUUCUGAGAAAUUAUCCUCUGAUUGAUUGUGUGCAUCAUGCCAACACCCAUCACGUUUGUUAAUCAGUCAUGAACUUGCCUUCGGUUGAAACACCAUUCAAGUAUGUAUGGUCACCAGCCUUCAUGGAACUGCCAAGUCAUCCAGACAUGUAUCUCAUGCUUUGCAGUAAACAGCUCAUCAUUGUAAGCUGAUGUAUUUCUCUAUGGAUUCCUCUUAGCUUGUCAAUCAGAUCGUGAAAAUACCUGCUUUGCAUCAUCAAUGAUGUUCAUGUUAUCACCAUAUUCAUGCGGUGAAGUGCGCAUUUGAGCUUCAGAAUAGAUGUCCCACAAUCAGUCUUCGAGGUGGGUGCCUUUCCGACAUUCAUUCAGUGCAGUUGUGUGAUAACAUCGUCUCUAACCAUGUUUCAAAGAAUGACAAUAUGAGAUUGUCCUUUAAGUGCAGCAUUGUUCCACAGUCAGUCUUGGUGGUGUGCAUCUUUUCUCAUUCAAUUACAUUCAUCUGUGUAUUCCUCAUCGAUCGCGAGCCAUGUUUCAAAAAAUGAUGAUAGGAAAGUGCCUUCAGGUACGUUUUUGUUUCUCCAUUGCCGACAGGAUUCACUAAAGCAUGGGCCAUUUUGGAAUGACAUUGCCCCAGUAUGAUCCGAAUGUGCUCGUUCAUUGAUUAUCUGUCUUUGAACAUCAUUGUCUUCAGUUCACUGAUUCAUCAUUUAAACAUUGCCUCAUAGCUGAUCUGAGCACUGCUUGUUUUUCCUUUUCAAGGUCUACUGUAUUGCCCCCAGCUGCUCAACUUUUCAAGGAGUGUCGAGGACUUCAAUGUCAUUUCUAUCAACAAUUUUGCAUACUCAAUCAAUGUUCUUCUGUGUUUGAUAAUCUUCCUUGUUCUGGAAUCAACUCUCAUAUUUCAAAGAUCAUGUCUAUUCAAAGUCUAGUUUGUUGAAAUGAAAUCAGAGAUGUCUUUUUGAAAAUCUUUUGAAAAUCAAGCUUUUUGAUCAAAGGCCCAACACAUUUUAUUCGAAAUAUAUAGUCCUUUGAUUGUCAUGCAUUUUGAAAACAGAAAUUGACCCAAUGUAGGAUUAAAAAUGGCUUUUUCCAUGGUUCUUUGUAUCAAUUUGAAUCCUUGAUAUUGGGUAUAUCAUUUGAUAGUCUAUGAUGAGGUGACCUUUGCAUGAAUUUCAAAAACAAGAUGCUCAGGCUUUAUCAAGAAAGGUUGUUUCUUCUCUUAGCAUUUAUUUUAUCAGCAUGCAUAAUAACCAGUAGCUUAAUUCAUGAAGUCACGACCCUUAUGGAAAAAACUCUUCAAGUUUUGAGAUCGCCAUUUAUUGGUUCAGAUUGCUUGCUUGAUUAAAAAGGGCUUUUAAAAGCACGUAAUGCAGGCUAUGGUUCAUGGCUAUGAAAGAAAGGAAUUCCAUAGGCUCAAAAAGGUGUUUGAGGGUUUCAAAGACCUAGGAUCAACAUCAACUAUUCAUCAACUUGCUUUCUAUUGUUGUCUUUGUAGAGGAAACGACAUAUAACCUUGUUAACCUCAAAGUUCAGACUUUUCUUAACAUAAGUCAUAAUGCAAAUCCCCCUUUCCUUGAUGAAUAACUAAUCUAAAUAUUUUUGAAGACAUUAGAGGCUCUAUCCAAGACACACCAAAAGAUAUGAAGCAUCGAUUUUUCUAGUGUUGACUUUUGGCAUUUGCUGUCUUUUCUCAAUUGAAAACUGUCUUGCCUCUCUUAGAAUUGAUAGGCAUUUUCUUUCCUUUCCAUUUUUUUUUUUUUGCAUAGCCUUCCUCAAAGUUUUUCUUGGAUGGCCCUCAAUCUAUGGAUUUUCUUCUGCUAGCCCUUUCUCAAACAUUGGACUUUUGUUCUAAGCUUUUCUUUGAUCCAUUGAUUUUAUCAGUGUCUCCAAAAUAUUUCUCAUUUGCCCCUAGUGUGGGGUGUGAUCCUAGUCAGGGUUUCCUUUUGAAAGAAAAUAUCUCACCAAGCUCAAAAUGGGACUACAAGGGAUAUAAUUUUUAGAAAGUGAAGAGAUAUCAAAGAUGGCCUUUUCUCAUUUCAAGCAAGGUCGGUUAGAACCGAUAAAUUUUGACCUCAUCUAGUGUAAUGAUUUGGACUUGUAAGAAUCAUGAUUCACGAGUCCAUAACUAUUGAAUCCACUACAUGUCAUUAUGCAUACUGCUAAAACUUAGCUAUAUGAUGUGUGGUUCAGUUUCAAAAGGUAUGAGUUCAAAAUUGUUUGGUCACCUCAUGUCAUUUUCAAGUAGAGUCAUUUCUGUAAUCAAAACACUUUUAAUCUUCCGGAUUGAUUAACCUUUAUCGCAUGUUGGAGUUUGAUCAAAAUAUUUUGUCAGAAUAAAAUGUAAACAUCUGUUGAUUUCAAAACAACAAAGAGACAAAAGCAAGGCAUGUUUCGUUGAAGGAUGAGAUGUGAUCCCAAAACAAAAUGCAGAAUUCCAUAACAAUAUGAUUGACUGUUCAUCACCAUUCUCGAAUCAGCUUUUCUGGCAAUAUCUGUGUUUUGCAAACAUUUUCGAUCACAUGUCAUUCUGAAGUUGUUCGGGGAACAAUAUAGCCAAUGACACCCUCUUCAACGACUCCACUUGUCUCUUGCUCACCAACUUUCAGACUCGCUUCUCAAUUCUUGAAAUUGCUCAAUUGAAAUGGUUGAGGACCCCAUCAUGACAUCACAUCUCUUGUCUGGAUUAACCACCCAGAAAAUGGUGGUUGCAUGGAUUUGUCGGAGUCAAGCAAAAUUCUGGAAUCUGGCAGAUGCUGGUCGACAAACUUAAAUGGCAGAGGAAUGUCCCAUCUUGGCAAAGAUAUUUGGGCAAUUGAUGCUGCCGUGAGACCUGGCUAUACCACAUAAUUAAGGGUUCACACCGUCAAAGUCAUCUCCAUGAUUUACCUCUCCUCAUUGUUCUAGAAUCCAUGGCAGAUCCUUCAAUCUUUCUCUCUUCAUAGCCUGUUCAAUUCUUCGGCAAAUUCUCAUAACAUUAUUUCAAUCUUCCAAUGUUGCUAGGGUUGGUUGAGGAUUGUUAGAAAACUUUCUAACAACUUGGUAAUCUUGGCAGCGCCCAUAAACUUGUAGUAUCGUCACUACCGACGUGUGGAAUCACACAUUGUCUCUAUUGGAAGAGCACCAGAUGAAUCCAAAACUCCUUUGUCCCCUCUUCGAUUUCUCACUGACAGUGCAGCAAACAAACACCUAUAGAGGAAGUCCUGCUCUGUUGAAGUUUCAGUAUUCUUCAUGUUUUUUAGUCUAGGCAUGUCUCUUUUCUCUACUUUUGCGUUUUAAUACUGACACUGUUGGAGGAAAAUCAUAGAUGACCUGAAACUACUGUAUUCCUUCUUGGAUUUCCCACUUGCGGAUCCACAAACAGAUUCCUGCCGAGAGAGCUCUGCUCCGUUGAAGUUUGAUGUCUGCUCGUAUUUUUCAGACCAGGUCUGGAUCUUCAACGUACCAAGAUGUCUCCGUGCUGAAACUGAUGGGAGAAAUAUUUGUAACAUAUACAACUUAUAAAUCCCCUCUUGCACUCCCAAUUUGCAGAGCCAUAAAUGGAUUUUUAUAGAGGGAGCUCUGCCACAUUGAAGCUCAGUGUUUAAUCAUGGUUUUUCAGACCAGCAUCUUGUGCUGAUGAAAUGGAAUUGAGCUCAUAAUUAGGGCAGCUUCCAAGAAGACUAAUGCGCCAUGUACAGGAGACCGAUAGUUGUUUGGUUCCAUUAGAUGAUGUGGAGGCGAUGAACAUUUAACAAUGCAACCAGAGUUGUCAUUAGUUGAUGACUGAAGGCGUUGUUGCUUUUGUUCAUGACGAAAAAAGGAGAAAUACAGCUUCAAUUAGAUGUGAACAAGCAGUGUUCCCACAGAAGACUGUGCAGAUAUUCUCUUUCCAUUUGAUGCUCAACACUUGUUCGAGCAGAUCUGAGUCUGGCUACUUCACAUUUAAUGCUCUCAACCUUAAUCUGAUAAUGAGCCUCUAUCUGACACCUUUCUUCACCUCCAUCAUUUUUCUCCAAUCAUGUGCAGCACAGCUUGUGUGGGGGACCUACCUUUCAACCCGGUACAUGCAUGAUAAAUGUAUGAACAUGUAAUCUAUAUGAUGAACUCACCCUUCGAGAGGUGACAAUAUGGUCGUAACUCUUGUAUGAUGGACAAGAAUCGUGAUUUUUGCCCAAACUCUACAAUGAAAAUUUUCGGAGCAACGGCCAAUGUGUCACCCACAAGUCUUGAGUUCAAGAUGCUUCAAGAAGGGUUUGCCCUUAUGCAAAAAACGAUAGCACAUACAACCUAAGGACAGGUUCUAUUCAUUAUGUGAACAUGGGUAGGUUUUCUAUCUGGUCUCAAAAGGGUCUCAUAUCUGCCCAGUGACGUUCUUCGUAAAGACAGUAUGGGGGCGUUGCAAAGAAUGGUUAAGGCACGUAUACCCACCAUUACCAAGCAGGCACUCAGAUAUGAGUUGGGUGUUUCACGCAUCUGAACCCUGACCAAUAGUCUUAGGGCAGAUCGCUAGUUCCCCACCUAACCUAGAAGCUUGUGUGUGCUUUCAAAAAUAAAUACAGGUGAUGCAUGAGACAAUUCUAUAAAAUGCAUGGAAAUAAAUAUUAACAAAAAAACAAAAAUGCAAAAACAUAAACACAUCAAAUACACAAAGCUUAAUCCAAUAAUAUCAGAAACAGUACCGUCCCCAGUGGAGUCGCCAUUCUGUCGCACCCCAAAAAAAAUCAAUCAGCGGCGGCAUCGGCUGGCGAUUUAUCUCGUUUGCGUUUGAAUUUGGUUCGUUGGAGUCGCCACCUAGUAAUUGAUUCGGGCUACUAGGAAACCGGAUGUACUGGUCUUGUCAGAGAUUCGCGGGUAAGGGACUGGUUGUGGUUAGGGAAGGUAUUAGCACCCCUUAACACCUACUGAGGUAAGCUGCUUCGUGGCUUUGACGUGUUAAAGAAGUUUUAAUAAUUGUCUUUUCUUCGGAAAUUAGAAAUAUCACUUACGUAUAAGUUAAUAAUUCUUAACCGUGAUCCGAUCAAAAUAUUAAAUUCUUCUUUAAUAUAUUUUCAAUUUUACAUUAAAAAAUAGUACAAAUAAAUAAAAAAAAAUACAAGCACAUCACAUACACUUUCACUAUUUUAUUUUUGUUUCUUCUUUUUCUUUUCUUCUUUCUUUUACAUCCAUAUUUACAAAAUCCAAAUACAAAUUCAAACAAAAAAACAUAAAAAUUACAUGAAUUAAUUUAAAAUGUAGAAAACAGUCCCCCAAACUCCAGGAAUUGCAUAGGAACGCUUCUAGAAUGGUCUGAACGGCGGUGCGCGUCUUCCCCACGCGCCCCGUCACUGGCGGCGCGUGGGUUCACGCGCUGCCGCUGGAGAAGUACAGUGAGCAGGGUUCAGUCACAGCCUCCCUCUUCACGGCGAUGACACUGACCUGCAAAACAAAAAAAAAACGCAACAACAAUCUGUUUUAAUUUUCGUUUUAUUUCAUCCGUUCCCAAGUUUUUUUCCUUUUUUAGAUCUGUUUCCUUCCGUUUCUCUGCCUCCUCUCGUCUGUCUCAGGUGACCGGAUCUGCUGUCAGGGCGCCUGUGGGCUAACGUUGGCAGCCUCUCGGUGGUAGCGGCGCUGCUGUUUCGGCCGCCGCUGGGAGAGGCAACCGAAGGAGAAGCAGCCGUUGCUGAUGGGAAGGCUGCGGUGGCUGGCUGGUGAUGGAGGCGUCUGUGUGGUCGGCUGAGAAGAUCGGCGUUGAUGGAAACCGAAGGAGGAAGAAGAUAGGCCGGCUGUUGAAGGAAAUGAGUUUGUGGCUGGCUGAAGGCAGAUCGGAGUUUGCUGCGGAGAGGCUGCAACAAGGAAGUAAAUGCAGGGGCUGGACCAGGAGA